rnacentral:rRNA from 1 species
CGCGGCCUAUCAGCUUGUUGGUAAGGUAACGGCUUACCAAGGCUUUGACGGGUAGCUGGUCUGAGAGGAUGACCAGUCUCACUGGGACUGAGACACGGCCCAGACUCCUACGGGAGGCAGCAGUGAGGAAUCUUCCACAAUGGGGGCAACCCUGAUGGAGCGACACCGCGUGCGGGAAGACGGCUUUCGGGUUGUAAACCGCUUUUCUGUGAGAAUACUUCGAAUGUAUCACAGGAAUAAGUCACGGCUAAUCACGUGCCAGCAGCCGCGGUAAUACGUGAGUGGCUAACGUUAUCCGGAAUUACUGGGCGUAAAGGGUCCGCAGGGGGCACACGUCAGUGCAGUGUUAAAUCUACCGGCUCAACCUGUAGACUGCAUUGCAUACUACUGUGCUAGAGGUAUGUAGAGGUAAGCGGAAUUCUCGGAGUAGGAGUAAUAUCCGUAGAUACCGGGAGGAACACCAAUAGCGAAGGCAGCUUACUGGACAUUACCUGACCCUCAGGGACGAAAGCGUGGGUAGCGAACCGGAUUAGAUACCCGGGUAGUCCACGCCCUAAACGAUGGGUACUCGGUGUGUGCGGUCUCGACCCCGUACGUGCCCAAGCUAACGCGUUAAGUACCCCGCCUGGGGAGUACGG